GUGUCAGCAGCCGCGGUAAUACAGAGGCCUCGAGCGUUAAUCGGAGUCACUGGGCUUAAAGGGUGCGUAGGCGGGUCCGCAAGUGCCUUGUGAAAUCCCACGGCUCAACCGUGGAAUGGCUCGGCAGACUGCGGGUCUUGAGGUCGGUAGGGGUCGCUGGAACUCUAGGUGGAGCGGUGAAAUGCGUAGAUAUCUAGAGGAACGCCAAAGGUGAAGACAAGCGACUGGGCCGAUUCUGACGCUGAGGCACGAAAGCGUGGGGAGCGAACGGGAUUAGAUACCCUGGUAGUCC
rnacentral:rRNA from 1 species